GGGGAAUAUUGGACAAUGGACCAAGAGUCUGAUCCAGCAAUUCUGUGUGCACGAUGAGGUUUUUCGGAAUGUAAAGUGCUUUCAGUUGGGAAGAAAAAAAUGACGGUACCAACAGAAGAAGUGACGGCUAAAUACGUGCCAGCAGCCGCGGUAAUACGUAUGUCACGAGCGUUAUCCGGAUUUAUUGGGCGUAAAGCGCGUCUAGGUGGUUAUGUAAGUCUGAUGUGAAAAUGCAGGGCUCAACUCUGUAUUGCGUUGGAAACUGUAUAACUAGAGUACUGGAGAGGUAAGCGGAACUACAAGUGUAGAGGUGAAAUUCGUAGAUAUUUGUAGGAAUGCCGAUGGGGAAGCCAGCUUACUGGACAGAUACUGACGCUGAAGCGCGAAAGCGUGGGUAGCAAACAGGAUUAGAUACCCUGGUAGUCCACGCCGUAAACGAUGAUUACUAGGUGUUGGGGGUCGAACCUCAGCGCCCAAGCAAACGCGAUAAGUAAUCCGCCUGGGGAGUACGUACGCAAGUAUG
rnacentral:rRNA from 1 species